GUUCCUGGCUCAGGAUGAACGCUAGCUACAGGCUUAACACAUGCAAGUCGAGGGGGCAGCAUUUUUAGUUUGCUUGCAAACUAAAGAUGGCGACCGGCGCACGGGUGAGUAACACGUAUCCAACCUGCCGAUAAACUCAGGGAUAGCCUUUCGAAAGAAAGAUUAAUACCUGAUGGCAUAGGAUUAUCGCAUGAUAAUCCUAUUAAAGAAUUUCGGUUAUCGAUGGGGAUGCGUUCCAUUAGG
rnacentral:rRNA from 1 species